rnacentral:rRNA from 1 species
CUCAGAUUGAACGCUGGCGGCAGGCCUAACACAUGCAAGUCGAACGGUAACAGGAAGAAGCUUGCUUCUUUGCUGACGAGUGGCGGACGGGUGAGUAAUGUCUGGGAAACUGCCUGAUGGAGGGGGAUAACUACUGGAAACGGUAGCUAAUACCGCAUAACGUCGCAAGACCAAAGAGGGGGACCUUCGGGCCUCUUGCCAUCGGAUGUGCCCAGAUGGGAUUAGCUUGUUGGUGGGGUAACGGCUCACCAAGGCGACGAUCCCUAGCUGGUCUGAGAGGAUGACCAGCCACACUGGAACUGAGACACGGUCCAGACUCCUACGGGAGGCACAGUGGGGAAUAUUGCACAAUGGGCGCAAGCCUGAUGCAGCCAUGCCGCGUGUAUGAAGAAGCCUUCGGGUUGUAAAGUACUUUCAGCGGGGAGGAAGGGAGUAAAGUUAAUACCUUUGCUCAUUGACGUUACCCGCAGAAGAAGCACCGGCUAACUCCGUGCCAGCAGCCGCGGUAAUACGGAGGGUGCAAGCGUUAAUCGGAAUUACUGGGCGUAAAGCGCACGCAGGCGGUUUGUUAAGUCAGAUGUGAAAUCCCCGGGCUCAACCUGGGAACUGCAUCUGAUACUGCAAGCUUGAGUCUCGUAGAGGGGGGUAGAAUUCCAGGUGUAGCGGUGAAAU